rnacentral:rRNA from 1 species
UAUACAUGACUCUGCGCAUAUCAAUAAGCGGAGGAAAAGAAGACUAACAAGGAUUCCCCUAGUAACGGCGAGUGAAGGCGGGAAGAGCUCAAAUUUGAAAUCUUAAAGGGUUUCCCUUUAUCGAAUUGUAGUUUAAAGAAGUGUUUUCUGUUGAGGUUUUGGUAAAAGUUCUUCGGAAUAGGACAUCAUAGAGGGUGAGAAUCCCGUAUUUGACCUUUACUUUCAACUUUGUGAUACACUUUCAAAGAGUCGGAUUGUUUGGGAAUGCAGUCCAAAAUGGGUGGUAAAUUUCAUCUAAAGCUAAAUAUUGGCGAGAGACCGAUAGCGAACAAGUACCGUGAGGGAAAGAUGAAAAGAACUUUGAAAAGAGAGUUAAACAGUACGUGAAAUUGUCAAAAGGGAAGCGUUUGACACCAGUGUUGUUUUUCUGAAAAUCAAUUAAAGAACUGUUUAUGCUAAGCUGUUUAGACUUUAUCAGCUAUCUGUUUAGUUUUGAGCUUUUCUUUAAUGCACUUUUCAGUUAACAAGUCAACAUCAAUUUCUUUUGCUGUAAAAAAGCUUGAGGAAGGUGGCUUGAGAUUCGUCUUAAGUGUUUAUAGCCUCUUGCCUAUGCAGUCGGAGAGAUUGAGGUCUGCAGCGUAGAUCCUUCGGGGCUAAAUGCAUUUGUGCUAAGUUAUAGCAUUUUAUAGACAACUUGUUGACUAUGAUUUGUCUUGUAGCUUACUCGCUUAUGUUAUUUUACCUACGCUUAGGAUGUUGAUCUACAGAGCGAGAGU